GAACUUGAGAGUUUGAUCCUGGCUCAGAACGAACGCUGGCGGCAGGUCUUAGGCAUGCAAGUCGAACGGAUGACAGAGAGCUUGCUCUCUGAAGUCAGUGGCGCACGAGUGAGUAACGCGUGGGAAACUGCCCUUCACUGGGGAAUAACGUUUGGAAACGAACGCUAAUACCGCAUACGCCCGCAAGGGGAAAGAUUUAUCGGUGAUGGAUGUGCCCGCGUUGGAUUAGCCAGUUG
rnacentral:rRNA from 1 species